GCAAGUCGAGCGGAAACGAGAAGUAGCUUGCUACUUCGGCGUCGAGCGGCGGACGGGUGAGUAAUGCUUGGGAAUAUGCCUUUGAGUGGGGGACAACAGUUGGAAACGACUGCUAAUACCGCAUAAUGUCUACGGACCAAAGGGGGGGCUUCUUCGGAACCUCUCGCUCAUGGAUUAGCCCAAGUGAGAUUAGCUAGUUGGUAAGGUAAUGGCUUACCAAGGCGACGAUCUCUAGCUGGUUUGAGAGAAUGAUC
rnacentral:rRNA from 1 species